rnacentral:rRNA from 1 species
UACGUAGGGUGCAAGCGUUGUCCGGAAUUAUUGGGCGUAAAGAGCUUGUAGGCGGUUUGUCGCGUCUGCUGUGAAAUUUCGGGGCUCAACCCCGAACUUGCAGUGGGUACGGGCAGACUAGAGUGUGGUAGGGGAGACUGGAAUUCCUGGUGUAGCGGUGAAAUGCGCAGAUAUCAGGAGGAACACCGAUGGCGAAGGCAGGUCUCUGGGCCACUACUGACGCUGAGAAGCGAAAGCAUAGGGAGCGAACAGG